UCACCAAUCGGCGGAAGCACGUUUGCUCCCUGGCCAACGAAUUCACCUCAUCUUCCGACGGUUCACCUGUAAACAACUUUGCCGCAGUCUAAAGACUUCGAGGAGUAUGAUUUCUGUUACGAGACCAGGAAGUACAAAAGAAAAUGCUCAAGUACAACAAUUUUCGGAUGUAAAAGAAAAGAAACGUUCUCUUCGCUCUGCCUCCUCUGAUUAAAUCUUGAAAGAGUUGAUCAAGACUCUUUCUAAAUACUCACGAUCGGAAUUUAAAAGCACGAGCUUGGCGCACUCUUCGGGCUUCAAAUUCGACGCCAACAGGUGCAGUUCCGGCACGUCGACUUCGGUGAACAUCUUCUUGAAUCAGAGAUGUACCUGGGAAAGGGACGGUGUGAGGUAGAAGAAUAUAAGGACCGAUGCAUCUUUGAAAACGUUCGGGUACAUCGAUCGAAUGAACGGUUCGAAUCCGAAAUCAAACCUCCUCUACAAAUCAAAUGGGAAGAAAUUGGAUAGAAAUAUAAGCAAUGGCCACAGGUUCUCCAUCUCUAGUUGGCGUCGGCUAGGCUCGGUCUCUAUCCUGUGCGUCCGCAGCCGAGCCAGCCUCUCCA